UCGUCCACUCUCCACAAUCUCUCCACCUUCUAAGGUGGCGGCCCCUGCCGACGAGAGGAACUUGCCACACGCUGCACAUUUACCCAUUGUGUUGGCUUGCUGAAUAUUAGUAGACCUCGCAGUACACGAAUAAUCACACAGAUGGCAGAAGCAGCAGAUACGAUGACUCGCCGCUAGAUGUCGUAGUCUAUUGUAUUGAUUAGCGUGAUUUAUUCUAAUAACUUAACUUGUAGGUAUGCUUUACCGGCACUCUUAUACCUUCUUUUUAUAACAACCAACAGUAACAAUUUAUUUGAUUUUGAUAAAAAACUCACUAGAUUGGAGAUGUACAGGUUUGCAAACAAUCACUGAACUCCCGCUGACUGCGAAACACUUUCUUAUAAUAAACUUAUUACGAAAUUA